rnacentral:rRNA from 1 species
CCUACGGGUGGCAGCAGUGAGGAAUAUUGGUCAAUGGGCGCGAGCCUGAACCAGCCAAGUCGCGUGAGGGAAGACGGUCCUAUGGAUUGUAAACCUCUUUUGUCGGGGAGCAAAAGACGCCACGCGUGGCGUUCCGAGAGUACCCUAAGAACAAGCAUCGGCUAACUCCGUGCCAGCAGCCGCGGUAAUACGGAGGAUGCGAGCGUUAUCCGGAUUUAUUGGGUUGAAAGGGUGCGCAGGCGGAAGAUCAAGUCAGCGGUAAAAUUGAGAGGCUCAACCUCUUCGAGCCGUUGAAACUGGUGUUCUUGAGUGAGCGAGAAGUAUGCGGAAUGCGUGGUGUAGCGGUGAAAUGCAUAGAUAUCACGCAGAACUCCGAUUGCGAAGGCAGCAUACCGGCGCUCAACUGACGCUCAUGCACGAAAGUGUGGGUAUCGAACAGGAUUAGAUACCCGAGUAGUC